UCCAUAUUCACUAGUAUGGCUACUCUACACCAAUUGUUAGAUAGAUAAUCAUACAUUAUUAGCUUUGGUUCAUCCAUUGUACUCAUGUUGGCCCCUAUCUCUUUCAUCCUAUAAUACUCUCUUCAUCACUUAGGAAUAUUUUUCUAUUGGUCAUCCAGGUGCAUACAACUUGUAUUGUGAUUGAUCGUAGAUCAAGUUUUGAUUCAUUGGCCUGUUCA
rnacentral:lncRNA from 1 species